GUUACUACAAUGCAAACAUAAGAGAAAUAAAGUGCCUAAAAUCAUUUAAUGACUGAAAGUUGUUGUUUUAAAAACUAUUUGUGGUCUUUAAACAGGAAGUACAAGUUCACAUAUGCUGCAUCAAGUUUUAGCGGGUCACUUUUACCCGUUCAAAACUUACGGUCUAUUGUUAAAUCUGCAGGCAGAUUUCAACUCGUGUUUUGGUCCACUGAUGCUGUAAAUAAUGUGGUGUACUCUAUGAAGGAACACUCUUUGGUGCUAAACCUUAGUUACUUUAUUAUCUUUUUUUGUUAUUUUUUUCACUGGUUGUCGUUGAAGGUUGUUUAAAACUGAAACCCUGCUUUUUUUUUUUUUUUUUUUUAGUCAAACCACACGGCAACCAGAUUUGUUUCCAUCUUUAUCAAGAUGUAGCUGCAAACUUUGUUUUUACGGAUUUUUCAAACACUAAGUUAAUUGUAGAUUUACCCACGUUUUUAAAUUCUUCCAAUGAUUCUAGUUGAAUUUAUUCUGAGUCUCUUUUCAUCAUCAGAGCAUGAAAGAGUGAAUGACGUGAGUGUAGUUUGUUCUGCUGCUACUUCCUGAAUGUUUGCAGUUCAGAGCUGACUGCUUUCAUCAGGAAACAGUCGGUGAAGUCUGAUCAGUUAGUUUGAUCUCUAAAGAUGUCGACAGAAACUGAAGAUUUGAGAGUGAAAUUUAACAGAAAUCUUCAUCAAGAUGGAAGAGAACAAAGUGAGGUGAAGAUUUUAGAAGAUGAAGAUCAGAUCUCUGAUCAUGGAUUACAACAAACUGAAAAACCGAAGCAGAAGAAUCUUCACGCCGAGAGAAGAAACUGUUCCAGAGUUCUCAAGCUGUUUCUGGGAGUUUUCGUUCUUCUGAUUCUGGCUGGACUCAUGACACGCUAUAUUCUUGUGUCUUCGGAAAACGACAUGAAAAACAUUUUGAAUCAGAUGCAGACUGAAC